AUGGAGGGGGAUAACUACUGGAAACGGUAGCUAAUACCGCAUAAUGUCGCAAGACCAAAGUGGGGGACCUUCGGGCCUCAUGCCAUCAGAUGUGCCCAGAUGGGAUUAGCUAGUAGGUGGGGUAACGGCUCACCUAGGCGACGAUCCCUAGCUGGUCUGAGAGGAUGACCAGCCACACUGGAACUGAGACACGGUCCAGACUCCUACGGGAGGCAGCAGUGGGGAAUAUUGCACAAUGGGCGCAAGCCUGAUGCAGCCAUGCCGCGUGUGUGAAGAAGGCCUUCGGGUUGUAAAGCACUUUCAGCGGGGAGGAAGGCGUUAAGGUUAAUAACCUUGGCGAU
rnacentral:rRNA from 1 species